CAUGGUUUAACCCAGGAGGCAGAGGUUGCAGUGAGCUGAGAUUUUGCGACUACACUCCAACCUGGGCAACAGAGCGGGACUCCAUUCCAAAAAAAUAAGAAAAACAGAAAAAUAAUAAUUACAUCUGCAAAGACCUUAUUUCCAGGGUCCACGAGGCUGGUGUCAGACCUAUUGGGAGACCCUCUGCGUUAGUGAGAAAAACGGCAAGAAAUGGGAGCACGCGGAAACCUCCAAGACUAGAGCCACCAGAUGCCACCGACAGCACGCAGCUGGACCAGCACGGGGGAGGGCCUUCGUGGGUCGAGAGCUCGCUCGGGAGAUAGUUGGUGCUUUUCUUUCAGGAGAAGAAUCCCUGGCGGAGUCUGACCGUUCUCUGGCGCACAGCCCCGGGGGUGGGCACAGCAGCCGCCCCUGCUGAAGGGACUGACGCCUCCGACGACCAGCAGCCAAGUUAAACGCACUGUUCCGUGAGCAGCUUUGUUGGAGACAGCGCGGUUCACAUUCUCUUCCAACGGAGCCGCUGACUGCGGAGCUGGGAGGGGACGUGACAGAACCCAGCCAUCCAACGUCCCCCCACCCCUCCCCAGCUGGGACCUCCGGCUGCUUCCGGGCUGCGCUGGGUGGCGUCAAGGAGCCGCCCCUCUGGGCCGCGUCCCUCCCUCACGCCCUGCACACUGGCCCUGUGUGGCCGGCGGGGCGCCUAAAAGGGCGGAAGGAUGCAGGGGCGGAGGGGGCUCGGGAUUGCACGCCUAGCUCAGACCCCCCAGCCAGGACCCCUCGCGCUGUUGGACACGCCAGCCUCCCGACCCUGCGGCUCCUACGGGAGGUGACAAGGACCCUGCCAACCUGGCCUGAAUGGCCCAGUUUGAUACAGAUCAGGUUUUCAAUGAAUGAGACCGCGGUGUGGUCUAGGCGGAGGGAUGAGAGGAGGGGAUUCUGCUGGGAUAAGUGGGGGCGGGGUAAGGAGGGGAUUCUUUUCCUGGGCUGAGGAGAACGCAGGGACAAAGUACACAGGGGUAGUUGAGUGAGCAGGUGAGGCCCUAGGCUGGUUCCCCACCUUCUCAGGAUCGGAGCCACUCACUUCCUGGUACUCUCUGCAGUCUCCUGGCGUUAAAUAACAUCCCUUUGCUGGAGACUCUGGAUUCACAUCCAUAAUCGCAGCCUCCCCUACUCAUCCCCUCACGCUUCCCAUGAACUAACCUUGAAGGACCCGACCAGAGCCCUGACCUCCGUCCCACACACCUGCUACAUGGAAGGUGUUCUCCACAUCAGUUCAAGGCAGUGUCACUCUUCAGGAUGUUCAGGCUCUAAACCUUGGACUCCUCCUCCAGAUUUCUCUCUCCUUCCUUCUCCUUGUCUCUCCCUUGCACUUACGGUUCACUUUUCCUUCGUAGCUUUGUAGCUCAUUCCCCCUUCCACUUUCCACACCACCUUCUGGUCUGUUAAUUAAAUAUUACCUGGUUUCCACUGACACCUUCCCUGGGUUCCCAAUUGAAAAUCACAACAUCAUCCUCCUCCUCUGCUUUUUUUCUCCAAAUUAUAUCCUCACCCAAUUAUGUGUUAUUCUCAUUAAUCUUGCUUAAUUAAUUAGCAGACAUUAUUAAUGCCUGUUUCCCCUAUCACCACCACUAGACUAUGAACUCCUAAGGACUCCUUCCUUCCACCACUGUUGUACUCGCUUCACCUAGAACUGCUUGGCACAUACAAUGUGCUCCAUAAAUAUUUGUUGAAUGAAAGACUAGACACAACUUAGGAUUCACUCCCCCAUGUGGCAUCCAUAAGCCCUGUAUGCAGGUAAAAUGUCAGUGGGUUGACUAAAUACUGGAAGUGGAAAAAACUUCACCUCUUUGGUUUGCAGUUGUCUAGGAUAUUUAGGCCAAUGGAAAAUCCAGUUUUCCUUAGAAUUAAGCCAGUGCCGCCAGACUUGCCAGUUUACCAUGCUUGUCUGACUGGUCCUCAGCAUGGGUCAUACGUGUCCAAUGAAUUCAAACAAAAUCUUGAGAAGACACGAACCUUGCCCUUCGGCUGGGCGCGGUGGCUCACGCCUGUAAUCCCAGCACUUUGGGAGGCCGAGGCAGGCGG
rnacentral:lncRNA from 10 species